rnacentral:rRNA from 1 species
UGACCGCUGGCGGCGUGCCUACUACAUGCAAGUCGAGCGAACAGACGAGGAGCUUGCUCCUCUGACGUUAGCGGCGGACGGGUGAGUAACACGUGGAUAACCUACCUAUAAGACUGGGAUAACUUCGGGAAACCGGAGCUAAUACCGGAUAAUAUAUUGAACCGCAUGGUUCAAUAGUGAAAGACGGUUUUGCUGUCACUUAUAGAUGGAUCCGCGCCGCAUUAGCUAGUUGGUAAGGUAACGGCUUACCAAGGCAACGAUGCGUAGCCGACCUGAGAGGGUGAUCGGCCACACUGGAACUGAGACACGGUCCAGACUCCUACGGGAGGCAGCAGUAGGGAAUCUUCCGCAAUGGGCGAAAGCCUGACGGAGCAACGCCGCGUGAGUGAUGAAGGUCUUCGGAUCGUAAAACUCUGUUAUUAGGGAAGAACAAAUGUGUAAGUAACUAUGCACGUCUUGACGGUACCUAAUCAGAAAGCCACGGCUAACUACGUG